GGAGACUUUAAGAAGCAGCAGCUCUGCUUCUGUUCACAUUUCAAUUGAUUUGAUGACUUUAACUGCAGCUGAUCAGCUGGAAAAUACAUUUGGUUCCAGUCAACAUGUUGCUUCUUUUGAGAGUUUUCUUCCUCCCAGCUGUUUUGGUUCAUUGUGCCGGUGGAGAAGCUGAUCUCUUCAUCACUGCACCGAGGAGUCUGGAAGCAGUGACUGGAUCCUGUUUGAUUAUCCCCUGUAGCUUCAGACCUGCUUCAGAGAAAGAGAGACAG